rnacentral:rRNA from 1 species
GGACAUNUCACNAGGGGCNACASAGUAUGAUGGCNNGNUUGAUGACCUUGCCUGACGAGCUGAGAGGAGGUGCAUGGCCGCCGUCAGCUCGUACCGUGAGGCGUCCUGUUAAGUCAGGCAACGAGCGAGACCCACGCCCUUAGUUACCAGCGGAACCCUUAUGGUUGCCGGCACACUAAGGGGACCCAGUGAUA